UACGAAGGGGGCUAGCGUUGCUCGGAAUCACUGGGCGUAAAGGGUGCGUAGGCGGGUCUUUAAGUCAGAGGUGAAAUCCUGGAGCUCAACUCCAGAACUGCCUUUGAUACUGAGGAUCUUGAGUACGGGAGAGGUGAGUGGAACUGCGAGUGUAGAGGUGAAAUUCGUAGAUAUUCGGAGGAACACCAGUGGCGAAGGCGGCUCACUGGCUCGGUACUGACGCUGAGGUGCGAAAGCGUGGGGAGCAAACAGG
rnacentral:rRNA from 1 species